AAUUAACUGAGAAAAAGUAUUUAAAAACCUUUAAGUGCUCUAAGACUCAUCCAAUGGCAUGCAAAAUACUAGUACUAUAUAAUCUCAUUAGCGCAAUGCCGAGUAUUAGCUACAUUUUCAUGAAAAUAAGGAAAAUUGCUUGCCUUUUUGAUUUGGUGUCACAGAGGUUUGUGUAACAAUAAUUGCUCAGAGCCAGCCCUGGGGUUGUGGGGAGCUGAGACACCCAUAGCCCCAGGCAGGAGUUCUGCAGAUCUGCAGGGUGGCAAAGGCAAUAGUGCAACGUGGAGAAACGGGUUCUCAAGGAACUAAUUUCUUUUGAGAUCCCUCAGCUGUAUCCACACAGCAUUGCUUUUGAUAAACUCUGAAGCUGAUAAAGAUCUUUCAAGCAAAAGCUGUUUUCCUGAAAAAUAAAAAUGUCCUCAUAUGUAACUUGGCAGUGAAACAACGGAAAUGAUGCUGUUCCCAUCCUUUCAGUAGAUGCUGCUCAGAGAUGGCCAAUGUGUGGGGGAAAUGAUGGAAGGUUGGCUGAGCAAGAUUUCAGAGAUCAUAGUCAAAGUGUUUCUGAAAGCUUCUCAGCUGCCAUUCUCUGUUGCUCAGCCAGAAGUUGCUGAAGUUCCUCUGUAGACAAUUCCUCCAAGUGUUCCUUCACCAGUUCCUCAACAUCACCACUGUCUAUCUGCAAGCCUAUGGAUGCUACUAUAGUGAAAAUGUCAUCAACCACUGGAUCAAAUGAAGGCUCAGGCUCCUCUACACAGCCUUCAGUCACUCUCCUAUAUAGUUUUAGGCCACACUUUCUUCCAGGCAGAUCUAAGUGUCCUUAGAGGGACACUGGCCCAGGAUUUCUCAAUUCACCCCAAACAGGAUAUACCAGUAUUUCAGUUGUAACUCAGGACUUUGGUCAUAAAUUAAAACUAAAAUUCUGGUCAGAACCCAAGUUGUUUGGCUGGCUGUAACUUGAGGGUCCACUGUUAAGGGAUAGAAAGGGCUGUGGUUGGCCCUUGUGCCUUUGCUACUUUUUGCCUGCCAUUAACUGUUUCCCCUUUGUGAUACCACCCUGCCUUGGAGCCAGCUGAUUGUAGACUGAAACCUCUACAAACUGUGAGCUAAAUAAACCUUUCCUUCCUUAACUUUGGGUGUCAGGUAUUUUGUCUCAGCAAUGAGAGAAAAGUAACUAAGACAGGCAGUGACAUGAUUUGAUGCUGAUGAUAUGUGCUAUGCGUAGUGCUUUAUUUAGGAUUUAGCUUGAAGUUAAAGCCAACAGGACUGGCCGUGGGAGGCAGGAGGAAAGAAAGAAUUUAAGUGUAACAGUUUAGAUCUGAAAUGUGCCCCCAACGCCUCAUGUGUGCAGAGGUGUGGCUUUUGGAAGGUGAUGGAUUAUGGUGACCAUAUAGCUGACAUGUUACUAGGAGGUGGUGCCUGAUCACAAGAGACAGGUGCCUGCCAGGGUGAUUUGAAAGAGCCUGUCUGCCUUCCUUGCUCCUCCCUUCUCUUUUUGCUUCUUGGCUUCCAGGACAAGAGCAGCUCUCUUCCACCCUGGCCCGUCCACUGUGCAGUUUCUGUGUUUGAGCCUGCCAACCGGUAAGGAAACUUCUCAAACUAUGAGCCAAAAUAAAGCUCUCCUCCUGUAAGUUUCAGGUGUUGGGUAUUUUGUUCCGGUGACUAUGAAAGACACUCAGACAUGUCAGUGUUAUGUGAGCUGCUGGGAUGGGACGGAGGCAGCUGAAUUUUUGUGGAUUACAAAAUUUGAGCUGUUUACUAUAUAUGAAAUGGACAGCUGAAAUAAAAUAGUCUGGAAAACUAAUGAAAAAGUUGAGGCAGAGAUAUAGAUGCAGCCAGAGCUGAGAAGUGAGGAUUAGUUCCCCUGCCUAGGUCAAAUCUAAAUGUUAGGGAAUGUGUAAGCAUCCUGUGCUUUGUCAUAGAACCAUUUUCUGGGGCAGUUAAAAUCUUCAGAUCCAAUUAAGAGUUGCUUGAUAAGCCUCUCUCCCAGUAGGACUGAAGCCUGCAGACAGCAGCCACUUCCUCUGUUUUGUCCACUUCACGAUUCUGCUGUAGUGUGUGCUUUGGAGACAUCUUCCCAGAGAACAUGCCCAGCAGUGUUGCUAGCUAUAAGCCUCAAGUGUUGUGAGUCACUGCUUAGAAACAGACCAGUGUGAAGGCAGGGUGGUGAGGGGAAGCAGCUCAACACAGAGGCAGUUAGUGCAUUCUUAGUGGUUGGAUGGAGUGGGAGGGACAGGCUAUUUAAGUGGAAAUUUCCAACCCCGGAAAGAGUUAGUCUCUGGCAGAAGGAAAGGAGCAUGUCUGUUUCUAAAUCUUGGGCACCUGUUUUUUCAAUGAAGUCUUCAGAAGUGUCCCAUUGCUGGGAGCACUCUGAGAUAUCACAAACAGUUUAAGUCAUCACAGACAGAAAAAUCAUCAUCUGAAGAGAAGUACAGCUCAAUUAGAAAAUGUAGAUGAAAAACUGUAAAUGUGCCAGUCAAUGCAAUUAAAGUGAAUUAAAAGAUGAAACUCAAGGCUGUGUAUUGGAUCUACUUUCUAUGAAUUGUGGCAAUAUAUAAUAAGAAAUAGCACUGCUAAUUGUUUUUGAUUUGAAAUCACCUUCAGGAAAUGAAUCUCAAGGAAAUAACUCCUUAUGAAGUUGGACAAAUGUGUGGUAACUCUGUGUUGUAGCCAGGGCUUAGAAGCUUCCUUAGAGACCUGACUGAAUGGCAGAUCAACAGGUUGUGCCCUGAAAGCACAGUGCACUUAUUCAGUGCCCACCACAGUGCCACAAAGCUGUGGCCAGGACUCAGCAUGGGUACAUAAGGAAAAGGGAGGAGGCAGAGAGCAUCAGAGAGGCAGCCACUCUGGGUGCAGAUGGGAAUGUCAGGUGCAUCGGAAUGGGAGAAACUAAUGGAGAAAAAAGUGCUUAUUUUAAUUACCAGAUGUUAUUUUUAGAAAGGGUAGGUAGUGAGACAAAGUACUGUGUUUAGGGUCCCAUUAGUCAUGUAAAGGAGGAAAUGAUCACAUCCAUUCAAAGUUAAGAUCUAUUGACUGAGGACAUUGCUGUGACCAGGGCACUUGGGAAAGAUGCCUUCUUUUAAAAUUUCCUGCUGAAAAUGCAUAUGUUAAUAUUCCGGACUUGACCAUUACAUGUAACAAAGGCCCAAGUUUUGGACAGGCAGAGAGGGCAGAACAGCUUUUAUGAAAUUAGACUUUAUGGUGCAAAGCCAGCCAUUAAAGAAACAAAGAAGGUUCAAGAUCUGUUAGAAAUGACAUUAAAAUGUCAAGCUUUGUCCUGAAUAACACACACUUGAUAUCAGGGAAGUUCCCAUCAGAAACUAGAAUGUGAUAGAAAUAACACUUUUAAGGCAACAUUAAAAGUAUGUGUGAGAACAGUCUCUGCCCCUUAUGGAGUUAAGCGUAGUUUUUACCUUUCCAGGUGUCUGAAAAGCCAGAGUGUUUUGUGAUGCCAAAAUCAGAUUGAAUUCCAGUUCGAUCCUCCCUACACAAGAUGCUCUUGGGACACAGGUAUGUUCUCUUGCUAUGCGACCACAGUGGCGAAGCUGUGUAGCUGUGACAGAGAACACACUGUGAAGAUCAGACUGCAGGCUGUGAAACCCACUUGCCAUUGCCUCUUUACAGAGAAAGUUCGCUGGCCACACAUGGUAUACAUCGUUUUCCAUAAAAGCAAAGCGCCAGAUCAUUACUAAAGAGAAUUCUUGGCAUAAAUGUGAAUAUGAAUCACUGUACCCAGGUGCCCUCCUAUAAUAUGGUGACUCUGGAAAAAAUAAAGUGAUUUCUUGGG
rnacentral:lncRNA from 1 species